rnacentral:sRNA from 1 species
AACCAAUUGUACAAGUAGAUUGAUUAAUUCA